GCACCAGGGCAAAUGAGGCCUGGGAAACUCAGGAAGAAGUUGCUAGAGCCAAAAGUGCCUCCAUCCAUUCCUCCUCCAUCCAUCCAUCAUCCAUCAUCCAUCAUCCAUCAUCCAUCCAUCAUCCAUCAUCCAUCCAUCCAUCCAUCAUCCAUCCAUCAUCCAUCAUCCAUCAUCCAUCAUCCAUCAUCCAUCAUCCAUCCCUCAUCCAUCCAUCAUCCAUCCAUCAUCCAUCCCUCAUCCAUCAUCAUCCAUCCAUCAUCCAUCCAUCAUCCAUCCAUCAUCCAUCCAUCAUCAUCCAUCCAUCCAUCUGUCCUUCCAGAGUGACAUUCCCAGGAGAGGAUCAGCACAGUGAGCUGGAGCAAGGAAGUGUUUUCAAGGAGGGUCCUUGCCAG
rnacentral:lncRNA from 1 species